rnacentral:lncRNA from 10 species
ACAUGGCGGCGGGGGUGAGGGUCUGCGAAUCCCUCCCCCAACCCCAGGACUCUUGCAAACAGGGACCAUAGAUCCAAGCAGGGGGGUGGGGGUAGGGGUGUGCGGGGAGGGCGUUCUAGGCAGAGAGACCUCGGGGACAAAGGCCUUGAGGGAGGCCCCACCCCCACCGGUGGCUCAGCUGCCACCCAGGCUUCUGCGACCAUGAAUGGGUCUUUCAUGUCCUGGACGGGCAUCGCCCGAGGUCACCAGAGCCAGCAGCGCCCUCCCAGCCGUGGGAUUCUGAGCAAAGCCCCGCCCCGCUGGGCCUCAGUUUCCCCGGCCUGGGCGGGCGCGUUGGCAGCGCAGCGCUCCCGUCCUGCUCCGACCGGGUGGAUUCCAGUGCGGGUUUUGCGGGCGCCCGCGGCCACCGACACCUUCUUCCCAGUGCGGCCCGGGCUGCGGCCCCGGGUCCGAGGAGGCCCGGGGAGACCCGGAGGAGGUCAGAAGGCCUUCAGGGUCCCCGGGAUGGGGUGAGGCUGAGCUCGGCCCCUUACUGCCGGCGCCUGCCAGGAAGGGAAGCCCCGCCCCAAUGCCUGCGCGCCCCCAUCAGGACCACUAGCC